rnacentral:sRNA from 1 species
UAGUCACAUACGAUCUGUCGUCAUUGAC